GACACUGAACAUUGAGCCUUGAUGUGUAGGAUAGGUGGGAGGCUUUGAAGCGUGGACGCCAGUCUGCGUGGAGCCAACCUUGAAAUACCACCCUUUAAUGUUUGAUGUUCUAACGUGGGCCCCUUAUCGGGGUUGCGGACAGUGUCUGGUGGGUAGUUUGACUGGGGCGGUCUCCUCCCAAAGCGUAACGGAGGAGCACGAAGGUUAGCUAAUCCUGGUCGGACAUCAGGAGGUUAGUGCAAUGGCAUA
rnacentral:rRNA from 1 species